UGACUUCCCAAACUGUGCCAUUCCUGC
rnacentral:piRNA from 1 species